GCGGUGGAGCAUGUUGGUUUAAUUCGAUGCAACGACGAAAACCUUACCCACCUUUGACAUGGCAGGAAUCCUAAAGAGAUUUUGGAGUGCUCGAAAGAGAACCUGCACACAGGUGCUGCAUGGCUGUCGUCAGCUCGUGUCGUGAGAUGUUGGGUUAAGUCCCGCAACGAGCGCAACCCUUGCCAUUAGUUGCUACGAAAGGGCACUCUAAUGGGACUGCCGGUGACAAACCGGAGGAAGGUGGGGAUGACGUCAAGUCCUCAUGGCCCUUAUAGGUGGGGCUACACACGUCAUACAAUGGCCGGUACAGAGGGUAGCCAACCCGCGAGGGGGAGCCAAUCCCACAAAGCCGGUCGUAGUCCGGAUCGCAGUCUGCAACUCGACUGCGUGAAGUCGGAAUCGCUAGUAAUCGUGGAUCAGCAUGUCACGGUGAAUACGUUCCCGGGUCUU
rnacentral:rRNA from 1 species